UAAGCAUAUCAAUAAGCGGAGGAAAAGAAACCAACAGGGAUUGCCCCAGUAACGGCGAGUGAAGCGGCAAGAGCUCAAAUUUGAAAGCUGGCUCCUUCGGGGUCCGCAUUGUAAUUUGCAGAGGAUGCUUCGGGAGCGGUCCCCAUCUAAGUGCCCUGGAACGGGACGUCAUAGAGGGUGAGAAUCCCGUAUGGGAUGGGGUGUCCGCGCCCGUGUGAAGCUCCUUCGACGAGUCGAGUUGUUUGGGAAUGCAGCUCUAAAUGGGUGGUAAAUUUCAUCUAAAGCUAAAUAUUGGCCGGAGACCGAUAGCGCACAAGUAGAGUGAUCGAAAGAUGAAAAGCACUUUGAAAAGAGAGUUAAAAAGCACGUGAAAUUGUUGAAAGGGAAGCGCUUGCGACCAGACUCGCUCGCGGGGUUCAGCCGGCAUUCGUGCCGGUGUACUUCCCCGCGAGCGGGCCAGCGUCGGUUUGGGCGGUCGGUCAAAGGCCUCUGGAAGGUAACGCCCCCUCGGGGGCGUCUUAUAGCCAGGGGUGCAAUGCGGCCUGCCCGGACCGAGGAACGCGCUUCGGCUCGGACGCUGGCAUAAUGGUCGUAAGCGACCCGUCUUGAAACACGGACCAAGGAGUCUAACAUCUACGCGAGUGUUCGGGUGUCAAACCCGUGCGCGAAGUGAAAGCGAACGGAGGUGGGAACCCGCAAGGGUGCACCAUCGACCGAUCCUGAAGUCUUCGGAUGGAUUUGAGUAAGAGCGUAGCUGUUGGGACCCGAAAGAUGGUGAACUAUGCCUGAAUAGGGCGAAGCCAGAGGAAACUCUGGUGGAGGCUCGUAGCGGUUCUGACGUGCAAAUCGAUCGUAGAAUUUGGGUAUAGGGGCGAAAGACUAAUCGAACCAUCUGGUAGCUGGUUCCUGCCGAAGU
rnacentral:rRNA from 1 species